AUUCAAUAUUGGUUGAAUAAUAUACAUUAGACAUUUUAGGUCAUAGGCCUGGAGUUCAAUAAAGAAACCUGGAAACAGAGUUGACCCUUGAAUACCAUAGGUUUGAAUUAUGUGUGUCUACUUAUCUGGAAACUUUCUGCUGCCUCUGAGACAAUUGUGACAGUAAGACCAACCUUUUUCUUUCUCUUCCUCUUCAGGCUACUUAACAUGAAAAGCACAUGGAUGAAGACCUUUAUGUUGAUACGUUUCCACUUAAUGAAUAAAUCAGAGGGUACGUGUGCACAAUUGAGACGGAGGAAUAUUGUGUUUUGCUGAUGUUUGAAGUAUGACUGAACACGUCACCCUGGUAUUGAACACAGUACUCCGUAGGUAGUUUUUCAGGCUUUACUCCCCUCCUUCUCCCCACUAUAGGAGUCCCCAAUGUUUAUUGUUCCCAUGUAUAUGUUCAUGUGUACCCAAAAAACAUAACUGUUCUUAUUUGAUUUUGACGUUUGUGCCAGGAGAAGGAUAUUAUUUCUUAGGAUAGUGGUUUGCCUGUCGGCUUAUGAGAUUGCCAAUGCCAUUGACAUUUUCUUUUAGAAGUGAAUGUUACUUCUUUAGAUGGAAGGAAAUAUAAGUACCGGCCAGUAGCAAUUCUCUUAAAACCAUGCCUCCUGAGGUCAUGGGAUUUUAGUUUUAUAAGACUGUGCAAUAUUUCUCUUUGCCAUUGAAUUCUUGUUUCUUAACCUGAUUAAUGCCCUCUGCCUUCUUUCCAAAGUCAGGGAUAAUAACUGUUAUUGAUGUCUUAGUCAGUGCUGGCUGCUGUAAUUGAACACCAUAGACUGGAUAGUUUAAAUUAUAUUUAUUUCUAACUGUUCUGGAGUCUGGAAGACUGAGAUCAGAGUGCCAGUAUGGUCAGGUUGUAAGUUAGGGCUCUCUUUCUGUUUUACUAAUGACUGCUGUCUUGCUGUAUCUUCACAUGGUAGAGAGGGAGAACACGGGUCUCUGUUUUUUCUUAUCUAGGCACUUAUAACAUCAUGAGGGCUCCACCCUCAUUGCCUCAUUUUAACUUAUUCACCUCCUAAAGGCUCCUCCUUCAAAUACUAUUAUAGUGAAAAGUAAGGCUUCAAUCUAUGGCUUUUGGGGGAACACAAGUAUUCAGUCCAUAGCCCAUGGUUUUUGCAAGUUUCUUGAUUAUUCUGUUUAGAGACAGACGAUUUAGAGAUAGAUGAUUUGGCUGAUCCAAGAGGAACAGAUUGUUUUCAUUUCCUCCCUGAAUAUGUGCUUAAUACCUUUUCAUAAACUCAACCUAAAACCACUGAACUUCGUAUAGGCACUAUAC
rnacentral:lncRNA from 1 species